rnacentral:rRNA from 1 species
AGUGAACGCUGGCGGCAGGCCUAAUACAUGCAAGUCGAACGGCAGCACAGCAGAGCUUGCUCUGUGGGUGGCGAGUGGCGGACGGGUGAGGAAUACAUGGGAAUCUGCCCAGUCGUGGGGGAUAACGUAGGGAAACUUACGCUAAUACCGCAUGCGCCCUUCGGGGGAAAGCCGGGGACCUUCGGGCCUGGCGCGAUUGGAUGAGCCCAUGUCGGAUUAGCUAGUUGGCGGGGUAAAGGCCCACCAAGGCGACGAUCCGUAGCUGGUCUGAGAGGAUGAUCAGCCACACUGGAACUGAGACACGGUCCAGACUCCUAACGGGAGCAGCAGUAGGGAAUAUUGGGACAAUGGGCGCAAGCCUGAUCCAGCCAUGCCGCGUGAGUGAAGAAGGCCCUCGGGUUGUAAGCUCUUUUGUCCGGAAAGAAAGCGCCGGGUUAAUACCCGUGGUGUCCUGACGGGUACCGGAAGAAUAAGCACCGGCUAACUUCGUGCCGCAGCCGG